GAUGAACGCUGGCGGCGUGCCUAAUACAUGCAAGUCGAGCGAAUAGACGAGGAGCUUGCUCCUUUGACGUUAGCGGCGGACGGGUGAGUAACACGUGGGUAACCUACCUAUAAGACUGGGAUAACUUCGGGAAACCGGAGCUAAUACCGGAUAAUAUUUCGAACCGCAUGGUUCGAUAGUGAAAGAUGGCUUUGCUAUCACUUAUAGAUGGACCUGCGCCGUAUUAGCUAGUUGGUAAGGUAACGGCUUACCAAGGCAACGAUACGUAGCCGACCUGAGAGGGUGAUCGGCCACACUGGAACUGAGACACGGUCCAGACUCCUACGGGAGGCAGCAGUAGGGAAUCUUCCGCAAUGGGCGAAAGCCUGACGGAGCAACGCCGCGUGAGUGAUGAAGGUCUUCGGAUCGUAAAACUCUGUUAUUAGGGAAGAACAAACGUGUAAGUAACUGUGCACGUCUUGACGGUACCUAAGCAGAAAGCCACGGCUAACUACGU
rnacentral:rRNA from 1 species